AUUGAACGCUGGCGGCAGGCCUAACACAUGCAAGUCGAGCGGAUGAAGGGAGCUUGCUCCUGGAUUCAGCGGCGGACGGGUGAGUAAUGCCUAGGAAUCUGCCUGGUAGUGGGGGAUAACGUCCGGAAACGGGCGCUAAUACCGCAUACGUCCUGAGGGAGAAAGUGGGGGAUCUUCGGACCUCACGCUAUCAGAUGAGCCUAGGUCGGAUUAGCUAGUUGGUGGGGUAAAGGCCUACCAAGGCGACGAUCCGUAACUGGUCUGAGAGGAUGAUCAGUCACACUGGAACUGAGACACGGUCCAGACUCCUACGGGAGGCAGCAGUGGGGAAUAUCGGACAAUGGGGGAAAGCCUGAUCCAGCCAUGCCGCGUGUGUGAAGAAGGUCUUCGGAUUGUAAAGCACUUUAAGUUGGGAGGAAGGGCAGUAAGUUAAUACCUUGCUGUUUUGACGUUACCAACAGAAUAAGCACCGGCUAACUUCGUG
rnacentral:rRNA from 1 species